rnacentral:rRNA from 1 species
UACGAAGGGGGCUAGCGUUGUUCGGAAUUACUGGGCGUAAAGCGCGUGUAGGCGGCCCUGCAAGUCGGAUGUGAAAUCCCACGGCUCAACCGUGGAAGUGCAUUCGAAACUGCAGGGCUAGAGUCCUGGAAAGGAAGGUGGAAUGCUUGGUGUAGAGGUGAAAUUCGUAGAUAUCAAGCGGAACACCGGUGGCGAAGGCGGCCUUCUGGACAGUGACUGACGCUGAGACGCGAAAGCGUGGGGAGCAAACGGG